CGAUCAGAGGGAAAAGUCCCAUAAAUGGGUUUACAGCCCACCACCUUCAUUCAGCCACCUGACC
rnacentral:tRNA from 1 species